rnacentral:lncRNA from 1 species
CCCCUCCCCUCCCCAGCUUCUUCCCCCCUAUUUUCCCCUCCCUCUCCCUCCACCUCCCCUCUCUGUUCGCUCCUCUCUUCUCUCCAUUCCACUCCUUCCCCGGCUUUUGUUUUUAGUGUUGAAAAGCGUAGUCUUCUUCCCAAACUCUCUAUCUCUUCUCCCUCCUUCUUUCCUUUGAGGGGUGGCUCUGACCUUUCUUUUCACCUCCAGCCCCACAGGACACACAAGUGCCCUUUGAAGUAGACAUUCUUCUCAUCUCUGUUUUACAAAGGAAGAAACGGAGACACAGAGACAUUAAGCAACUUGCCCAAGGCCACACAGCCAUCCUGGAAACAAACAACCUGACAGACUGGCACAUUGGCCCCAGACGAGUGCUUGCGUGUAACACAUUCACGGACGCAGUGGUGCCUAAUGGGAUUUUGACGUUCUCUGACUCUUCUGAGAGUUUCACACAGGACACGUGGCUGGACGUAGGACUGUUAGUGGACACAUUUUGUUGACACGUGUGUAUCUUCUGGGUGAUCUGCUGGUCUCAGAAAGAAUACUGGAAAAGCCAGUUACCUAUUCAUUUAUUAAUUGUUACGGGGCUGGGUGGUAGGGAUAUAGAAAGAGAAGCCUCGGUCCAAUUGAGAAGAUGACCAAGUAAAUAGAACGUAUCAUAAGAGAGUGUGACAAGAGCCGUGCAAAGAGACAAGGAUUAUAUGACAGACGGUGUGGGACCCCCUCUCCCAUCUCUCUGGCUGGCCCGCGAGGCCGCAGAGGGGAGCUGUCAGCAGUGUCUUCGGAGAAGAUGUGGUGUUCACGCCUCCUCUUGGGGGAUGAGCGUGUUGGGCAGGUGUUGAGUUAGUGAACAGAAGGCGUGUUUCUUCUCAGGAUGGGGAACCGGG